rnacentral:rRNA from 1 species
UACGUAGGGGGCAAGCGUUAUCCGGAUUUACUGGGUGUAAAGGGAGCGUAGGCGGCAGUGCAAGUCAGAAGUGAAAGCCCGGGGCUCAACUCCGGGACUGCUUUUGAAACUGUACAGCUUGAUUGCAGGAGAGGCAAGUGGAAUUCCUAGUGUAGCGGUGAAAUGCGUAGAUAUUAGGAGGAACACCAGUGGCGAAGGCGGCUUACCAAGCUACUUCUGACGUUGAGGCACGAAAGCGUGGGGAGCAAACAGG